CCGGAAACGCUCUUGAUGCUGCAUAGCGUAUUAGCCGUGAAGCUGAACGCCGAGGCUGUCCUGCGUCUAUCGUCUCCAACGACAAAUUCGACUCGAGUUCCUUGCCUCAUGAGGACGCUAUUCUUUUUGUUGUAUCCACUACAGGGAAAGGAGACUCUCCAGAUUCUUUUAAGGAGUUUUGGAGGUUUCUUCUUCAAAGAAACUUGGGAAACUCUUGGUUGCAACGAGUUCGCUUUGCAGUGUUUGGGCUAGGUGAUUCAGGUUACCAGAAGUACAAUUUUGUAACAAAGAAGCUAGACAAAAGAUUACUAGAUCUUGGGGCCACAACCAUCAUCGAGAAAGGUCUAGGAGAUGAUCAACACCCAUCAUGGUAUGGAACGGUAUAUUAUUGAGGAAAAUAAUGAUUCUGUAAAAUUUGAUCUUCCCUUUAUUCUUUUGUAGCACAUGAACCAUUUGAUCAGUGGAAAAUAUAGUAUCCACGUUUUUUUCCUGCUGCUUGUUUUGUACUAUAUGUCUAAGUGUUUGAAUACUAAAUUUUUGGUUUUGGUGUUUUCUUUAUUUUUGAGGUAUGAAGCAAUAUGUUGUCUUUGUGGAGUAUUUUAUAUCAAAUCAAGCCCAUAUACUUUCCUAAUGGUCCAGAAGUGGUGAUUCUUGACAUAUUUGUUGAUUGGUGUUAUUUAAGAAGGAUCAUUGAUUACUCCCUGAAAAAAAACUCGAGCUUUCAGAUUACCGGAAUUAAUACAUCGUUUUACUUCAAUCGAUGGGAACAGUGGCUGCGUGGCUUGCUACAGAGAACCCAGAUCAACUAAAACUUCUCUAAAUGAUCCACUUUCCAAUUCUGUAGCUCAAACGGUUAAGAAACCGAGCGUCUCUGAAAAUUUCUGGUCAACAAGCACAGUUGAUAUGGACAACAUCACCUUUCCUUCUCAAGGAGGAAGCAUAUCAUCCAGCUAGACUUUUGAAUCUCAAUCUGUUUCCCGAAACUCAAAUCCCCUGCCUGAGUUUGUAAACCAAGGCCUUCUUCUUUGGAAUCAGACAAGUGAGCUUUGUGUGGGAAAAGAAAGACCUAAUACAACCCACCGGAUCGCAAUCAAGGAUCCAAGAUAUAAAUUGGAACGCAGCAUCGUAUGAUAGCCUUAAGAACGCUGAAGUAAUGAGUCCACUGAUCAUCGUCUCCCAUUGUCCCCAUGAUGGAGGUCUACUUUUCUUUAUGGGACGAAGCUGCAUCAAUGUUUAGGGGUCUCCUUAAUUCAGGGGAUAGAACUUAAUCUGUCAAUGUGGUCACAAGUGUGAUCCCAAAAAAAUUGGAGGAGCUGCAUUAUGGAAUGGUGCAGUGAGAAGCAAGAAUGCCCAUUUUGUCGUACACCCAACACCCAUUCGAGUUUAUUUUGUUUGUACAACUCUGAUUUUUAAGCUCAAAUGAAGAUCAACAAGGACACAACAGUGCAAAAAUACAUGAAAAGCAAAGGAAGAUGAUAGGUCCAAAUAGUCCACACCAGCUUCUUUAGUGACAACUUGGGACGAUAACAUAUUCUACAAGAAUGACAUCUGUUUUGUCUUAAGACAUGGAAGUAAGAUCAUCAAGUACUGAGUAGACACCAAGAGAGAUUUGGGGUUGAUUAUGUUAUGAAUUAAAAUAGUGUUCACGACUCCGCGCUUGCGCUGAGCCUCUGCCCUAGUAUUUAUAGUGAACUUCUCCUUGUUUAACCACUUGCAUUUAUAUUGGCUUCCAAUCCCGAACCGGUAAUGGGUUUGAUGAUUAUUAUUACAGCCAGUUAAGACUAAUGUUAGACAAUAAAUGUAAACGUGAAAAUAUGCAUUUUUUCCGGCUA